rnacentral:rRNA from 1 species
UUCGCGAGCUAGAGUAUUAUGGAGGAGAGACAACUGGAUUCCCUCAGUUACGGCGAGUGAAGCGGGACUAGCUCAGGAUGUGAAUCUGCGCUUUAAUGGCGCCGAAUUGUGGUCUAUAGACCUUGACGUUAUCUGCCGGGCCAAGUUCCUUGGAAAAGGACAGCUGAGAGGGUGAGACUCCCGUCCGCCUGGUAGAGUGAGUCAUGUGUCAACGAGUCGAGUUGUUUGGGAUUGCAGCUCUAAUUUGGUGGUAAAUUCCAUCUAAAGCUAAAUAUUGGUGGGAGACCGAUAGCGUACAAGUACCGUGAGGGAAAGAUGCAAAGAACUUUGAAAAGAGAGUUAAAGAGUACCUGAAAUUGCUGAAACGGAAGCGAAGGAAACCAGUGUUUGUUGGUUCAUAUUUCCCUGGCCACUUGUGGUUUGGGCGCUGUGAGCUUGCGUGUGUUUGUCUUGGUUGAUCCCUUUGGAAGAGCGCAGUCAGAGUUGAUGUCUGUUGCUAGCACUGGGUUUGACUGAUGCAGACGAAAUGGUUUUCUUUACCCCGUCUUGAAACACGGGACCAAGGA